GCUUGCAGCUGUAUCACCCUCAUCUUGCUCAGUCUGAGAUGCUAAGCAUGGCUUGGUUUAGAUAGUACUUGGAUGGGAGCCCCCCUGGGAGUUCCAGGUGCUGUAAGCU
rnacentral:rRNA from 1 species